rnacentral:rRNA from 1 species
AAGUCGAACGAAGGCUUCGGCCUUAGUGGCGCACGGGUGCGUAACGAGGGGGAAUCUGCCCUUGGCUUCGGAAUAACAGUUAGAAAUGACUGCUAAUACCGGAUGAUGUCGUAAGACCAAAGAUUUAUCGCCCAAGGAUGAGCCCGCAUAGAAUUAGCUAGUUGGUGAGCUAAAAGCUCACCAAGGCGACGAUCCUGAGCUGGUCUGAGAGGAUGAUCAGCCACACUGGGACUGAGACACGGCCCAGACUCCUACGGGAGGGAGCAGUGGGGAAUAUUGGACAAUGGGCGAAAGCCUGAUCCAGCCAUGCCGCGUGAGUGAUGAAGGCCUUAGGGUUGUAAAGCUCUUUUACCCGGAAUGAUAAUGACAGUACCGGGAGAAUAAGCUCCGGCUAACUUCGUGCCAGCCGCCGCGGAAAUACGAGGGGAGCUAGCGUUAUUCGGAAUUACUGGGCGUAAAGCGCACGUAGGCGGCUUUGUAAGUAAUAGGUGAAAGCCCGGGGCUCAACUCCGGAAUUGCCUUUAAGACUGGAUCGCUUGAAUCCAGGAGAGGUGAGUGGAAUUCCGAGUGUAGAGGUGAAAUUCGUAGAUAUUCGGAAGAACACCAGUGGCGAAGGCGGCUCACUGGACUGGUAUUGACGCUGAGGUGCGAAAGCGCGGGGAGCAAACAGGAUUAGAUACCCUGGUAGUCCACGCCGUAAACGAUGAUAACUAGCUGUCCGGGCACUUGGUGCUUGGGUGGCGAAGCUAACGCAUUAAGUUAUCCGCCUGGGGAGUACGGUCGCAAGAUUAAAACUCAAAGGAAUUGACGGGGGCCUGCACAAGCGGUGGAGCAUGUGGUUUAAUUCGAAGCAACGCGCAGAACCUUACCAGCGUUUGACAUGUCCAGACGAUUUCCAGAGAUGGAUGUCUUCCCUUCGGGGACUGGUACACAGGUGCUGCAUGGCUGUCGUCAGCUCGUGUCGUGUGAUGUUGGGUUAAGUCCCGCAAGGAGCGCAACCCUCGCCUAUAGUUACCAUCAUUCAGUUGGGACUCUAAAGGAUCCGCCGGUGAUAAGCCGGAGGAAGGUGUGGAUGACGUCAAGGCCUCAUGGCCCUUACCCGCUGGGCUACACAAGUGCUACAAUGGCAAUGACAGUGGGCAACAAUACCGCG